rnacentral:rRNA from 1 species
GAUGAACGCUAGCUACAGGCUUAACACAUGCAAGUCGAGGGGAAACGACAUCGAAAGCUUGCUUUUGAUGGGUGUCGACCGGCGCACGGGUGAGUAACGCGUAUCCAACCUGCCCACCACUUGGGGAUAACCUUGCGAAAGUAAGACUAAUACCCAAUGAUAUCCCACGAAGGCAUCCGAAUGGGAUUAAAGAUUUAUCGGUGAUGGAUGGGGAUGCGUCUGAUUAGCUUGUUGGCGGGGUAACGGCCCACCAAGGCUACGAUCAGUAGGGGUUCUGAGAGGAAGGUCCCCCCACAUUGGAACUGAGACACGGUCCAAACUCCUACGGGAGGCAGCAGUGAGGAAUAUUGGUCAAUGGGCGAGAGCUUGAACCAGCCAAGUAGCGUGCAGGACGACGGCCCCUAUGGGUUGUAAACUGCUUUUAUAAGGGAAUAAAGUGAGUCUCGUGAGACUUUUUUGCAUGUACCUUAUGAAUAAGGACCGGCUAAUUCCGUG